rnacentral:sRNA from 1 species
UCGUAGGUACCGAAGACCGGUCACCCCGACCC